GCUAGUUGUGCGGGUUUAGACCCGCAGCGGAAAGCUCAGUAACACGUGGCCAAGCUACCCUGUGGACGGGAAUACUCUCGGGAAACUGAGGCUAAUCCCCGAUAACGCUUUGCUCCUGGAAGGGGCAAAGCCGGAAACGCUCCGGCGCCACAGGAUGCGGCUGCGGUCGAUUAGGUAGACGGUGGGGUAACGGCCCACCGUGCCCAUAAUCGGUACGGGUUGUGAGAGCAAGAGCCCGGAGACGGAAUCUGAGACAAGAUUCCGGGCCCUACGGGGCGCAGCAGGCGCGAAACCUUUACACUGUACGAAAGUGCGAUAAGGGGACUCCGAGUGUGAAGGCAUAGAGCCUUCACUUUUGUACACCGUAAGGUGGUGCACGAAUAAGGACUGGGCAAGACCGGUGCCAGCCGCCGCGGUAAUACCGGCAGUCCGAGUGAUGGCCGAUCUUAUUGGGCCUAAAGCGUCCGUAGCUGGCUGAACAAGUCCGUUGGGAAAUCUGUCCGCUUAACGGGCAGGCGUCCAGCGGAAACUGUUCAGCUUGGGACCGGAAGACCUGAGGGGUACGUCUGGGGUAGGAGUGAAAUCCUGUAAUCCUGGACGGACCGCCGGUGGCGAAAGCGCCUCAGGAGAACGGAUCCGACAGUGAGGGACGAAAGCUAGGGUCUCGAACCGGAUUAGAUACCCGGGUAGUCCUAGCUGUAAACGAUGUCCGCUAGGUGUGGCGCAGGCUACGAGCCUGCGCUGUGCCGUAGGGAAGCCGAGAAGCGGACCGCCUGGGAAGUACGUCUGC
rnacentral:rRNA from 1 species